ACUCGCUUCGGCAACAUAUAUACUAAAAUUGGAAUAAUACACAGAUUACCAUGCUCCCCUGCAGGAGGGUGACACACAAGUUUGUGAAAAAAAACCUCAUAUU